UACGUAGGAGGCGAGCGUUGUCCGGAUUUACUGGGCGUAAAGAGCGCGCAGGCGGCACGCUAAGUCUGGUGUGAAAUCUCCCUGCUCAACGGGGAGUAUGCAUUGUAAACUAGCGAGCUAGAGGACGGUAGAGGGGGGUAGAAUUGCUGGUGUAGCGGUGAAAUGCGUAGAGAUCAGCAGGAAUACCCGUGGCGAAGGCGGCCCCCUGGGCCGAACCUGACGCUGAGGCGCGAAGGCGAGGGGAGCAAACGGG
rnacentral:rRNA from 1 species